rnacentral:rRNA from 1 species
GAGAGGGGAUAAAGAGAAAGGGGGAACCCACUAACUAAUGGUUAGUAUCCAUAACUGUUAAGGUUAUGAGAAGGAAGACGCAGUGAACUGAAACAUCUAAGUAGCUGCAGGAAGAGAAAGCAAACGCGAUUGCCUUAGUAGCGGCGAGCGAAACGGCAGGAGGGCAAACCGAAGUGUUUACACUUCGGGGUUGUAGGACUGCGACGUGGGACUUUAAAAGGAUAGAAGAAUUACCUGGGAAGGUAAGCCAAAGAGAGUAAAAGCCUCGUAUUUAAAAUUCUUUUGAGCCCUAGCAGUAUCCUGAGUACGGCGAGACACGUGAAAUCUCGUUGGAAUCUGGGAGGACCAUCUCCCAACCCUAAAUACUCUCUAGUGACCGAUAGUGAACCAGUACCGUGAGGGAAAGGUGAAAAGCACCCCGGGAGGGGAGUGAAAUAGAACCUGAAACCGUGUGCCUACAACAAGUUCGAGCCCGUUAAUGGGUGAGAGCGUGCCUUUUGUAGAAUGAACCGGCGAGUUACGAUAUGAUGCGAGGUUAAGUUGAAGAGACGGAGCCGUAGGGAAACCGAGUCUUAAUAGGGCGAUUUAGUAUCAUGUUGUAGACCCGAAACCAUGUGACCUACCCAUGAGCAGGUUGAAGGUGAGGUAAAACUCACUGGAGGACCGAACCAGGGCACGUUGAAAAGUGCUUGGAUGACUUGUGGGUAGCGGAGAAAUUCCAAACGAACUUGGAGAUAGCUGGUUCUCUCCGAAAUAGCUUUAGGGCUAGCGUCGAUGUUAAGUCUCUUGGAGGUAGAGCACUGUUUGGGUGAGGGGUCCAUCUCGGAUUACCAAUCUCAGAUAAACUCCGAAUGCCAACGAGAUAUCAUCGGCAGUCAGACUGCGAGUGCUAAGAUCCGUAGUCGAAAGGGAAACAGCCCAGACCACCAGCUAAGGUCCCAAAAUAACUGUUAAGUGGAAAAGGAUGUGGGGUUGCACAGACAACUAGGAUGUUAGCUUAGAAGCAGCUAUUCAUUCAAAGAGUGCGUAAUAGCUCACUAGUCGAGUGACCCUGCGCCGAAAAUGUACCGGGGCUAAAACAGUUUACCGAAGCUGUGGAUGACACAAAAGUGUCAUGGUAGGAGAGCGUUCUAUGUGUGAAGAAGGUGUACCGUGAGGAGCGCUGGAACGCAUAGAAGUGAGAAUGCCGGUAUGAGUAGCGAAAGACAGGUGAGAAUCCUGUCCACCGUAAGACUAAGGUUUCCAGGGGAAGGCUCGUCCGCCCUGGGUUAGUCGGGACCUAAGGAGAGACCGAAAGGUGUAUCCGAUGGCCAACAGGUUGAUAUUCCUGUACUAGAGUAUAUCUGUCUCUUAUACACAUCUCUGAGCCCACGAGACGGUGUGACAUAUC